rnacentral:lncRNA from 1 species
ACGGGUUAUUAAAGAGAGUUUUAAUUAAGAAUGCCAUAUAAUUUUAUUGCUAUGCUUAAUUUCCAGAUGUACUGUAUGCACCUGUUCUAAUAAACUUUGCACCUGAACUACUAUUCUCCAUGUGGGUUAAGGACAGAUUAGAAACUUGACUUUGCUAUCGUUUAGUUCACUUUUAAUCACUUAAGAGUAAUUAUUGAAUUGCGAAUGUCAUUAAACACAUAAGAGACACACUAAUACUAAUUAUAUAUAUUUCUCCCAAUAGAAAAAUCUUUUAAUGGCGGAAAAAUUGCAUCGCCCACACGCUUUACCAAAAUUACUCAUUUCGAUUUUUAUUACUGAUGAAAUUGUUUUAUGGCUGCACUAAUUUAUUUAGCAGCUGCAUGUGCAAUUUAGUUCUUAAAACGCAGUUUGCAUCAGUUAUUCAAGAAAGAAGUACAUACAAUGUUUCUGAUAAUUUUUUUGGUCACUUUUAUUUCUCUCGUAACUAUAGCAUCAUCUAUUCCCGAUGCUAUACUUCCUUAUCAAUAUGGAAUUAUGGAAGAGGCGAAAAACUCAUACGGAAGAGGAUCAACUAAUUUUUUUUAUGGCUUAUGGCAAGAAGUUCUCUCUAUGAGAGAAUUAAACGAAUUGAGAUCAUUGACAUCACCUAAAGAUUUCUUAAUGAAGAUGUUGAGUUUAUUUGUCUCCCGCCUAUUUUUAAAUCUUCAAUCGAUCACGUUAAAUUUUUUGUUCAUGUUGUGAAGAGGAGGAAGAAGAAAAAUUCGAGGAUAUGUAGAAUUUUAUUUCAAAUUCGGUUUUACAAAAUCGCUUCAGCGCAGUUUUGCAAUAACGACGAUCUUUGCAAAUGGCAAAUAUCUCUCGUGUUUUGCGUGGUUAUUUAUCGAAGUAGGUGAACAUUUUUUUUUAUGUAACGAAUAUUACGUAUAGUAUUCUAGUUUGAGAUCUCUCUCCUAUUCCAAUCAUGGAAUAGAAAUUGGCUGAGAUGUUGAUGUUUAAUUGUAUGUAUCACACAAUAUAUAUAUAUAUUGUAAGUUAUAAUUAAGUUUAACAGGGUUGAUAAUGUUAUAUGGUAAUUAUGAGUUAUAAUUGAUAAGUGGUAUUUAAAUCUAUGUUAGACAUUCAAUAACAAAUGGUUUGGUUACGGUUUGUUUAAUGAUUUAUUAGUUUUAUCGUAUUGUAAGCGAUUAGGCGUACUGAAAGAUAUAGUAAGAUGACAGGAGAAAAUUUCGAUUUUGAGGUGACCACAAUGGCUAUAACAAAAAUUAACCAAUAACAUCUAAUUUAUGGAAUCAUUUACGGGGCCGGAUUAACCCACUUUGGAGCCCUAGACAUUUUCUUCUUACCAGGCCCCCCCUCCCACUCCCACAUGAAAUAGAGCGCACAAAAAAUUUUAGAUAUUAUUAUUACUUUUUAUAUCGUUAUUGGUAUUUUUUUAAUUCAUAGGAUAUUAAGAAUACAUAUGAGGCGUUGCGGAUACGAAGGGCAAACUCAACAUUGGAGCAAAAAAAUUUUUUUCCCCAUUUUGCUCCCAUGAAGCCACAGAAUAUGCUGGUUAG